rnacentral:rRNA from 1 species
GACGAACGCUGGCGGCGUGCUUAACACAUGCAAGUCGAACGGAAAGGCCCUGCUUUUGUGGGGUGCUCGAGGGGCGAACGGGUGAGUAACACGUGAGUAACCUGCCCUUGACUUUGGGAUAACUUCAGGAAACUGGGGCUAAUACCGGAUAGGAGCUCCUGCUGCAUGGAGGGGGUUGGAAAGUUUCUGCGGUUGGGGAUGGACGCGCGGCUUAUCAGCUUGUUGGUGGGGUAGUGGCUUACCAAGGCUUUGGCGGGUAGCCGGCCGGAGAGGGUGACCGGCCACAUUGGUCCUGCGAUACGGCCCAGACUCCUACGGUAGGCAGCAGGGGGGAAUAUUGCACAAUGGGCGCACGCCUGAUGCAGCAACGCCGCGUUCGGGAUGACGGCCUUCGGGUUGUAAACCGCUUUCGCCUGUGACGAAGCGUUAGUGACGGUAAUGGGUAAAGAAGCACCGGCUAACUACGUG